rnacentral:ncRNA from 1 species
UUGUACUAUGCUGGGAGGGCAUAUCCGCCGAAUUUAAGCAUAUAAUUAAGCGGAAGAAAAGAAAAUAACAAUGAUUCCUUUAGUAACGGCGAGUGAACAAGGAUUAGCUCAAAAGGAAAAUCCGCUUCGUUGUGCAAACUACGGUGUGGAAUUGUCUGGUUGGGGUUUAAUCCUCCCUAUUUUUUUGUUGGGUACGAAAUGAGUAGGAAUACUAUUCCUUAGAGGGUGAAAGGCCCGUAGUUCCCUUCAUUUAUAGGUGGAUUUUUCCCCGUCGAGUCGUGUUCUUUGAGAUUGGAGCACAAAUUCGUGUGAUACAUUUCACAUAAAGCUAAAUAUUUGUAGGAGACCGAUAGCAAACAAGUACCGUGAGGGAAAGAUGAAAUAGUACUCAGGAAUGAGGCUUAAAUAGUACCUGAAAUCGUUAAGAUGGAACGGAUUAAGAGAGAAAUAACGUAAGAUGGGAUUUAUUUUCUCUGCUUCUAGCACGUUUUAAUUCCUAUCUUAUUAAAAGGAGCAUCAGUGAACUAUAGCAUUUGCAUUUUAGUUAACUCGUUAUCUUUGCUCUUGCAAAGAUUUCAUAUCUAUUUCCGCUAAUUUGGUUGUAGAACUAACUAUUUUUGCUUGCUACAUUUGCUGAGGACCCCCAAUGGCGGGGCAAUGCCCCGCUCAUUUACGUUGCUUCUAUAAAGUACUUUCUUAACCCACUCGUCUUGAAACACGGACCAAGGAGUCUAACAAAUGUGCGAGCGUAUAUAUGUUUAACUAUAACAAAGAGAUGUAAAUUCUUAAUGUACGCGUAAUUAAUGUAA